rfam:Bombyx mori DNA, contig: Bm_scaf12_contig9658, strain: p50T/Dazao, build 2, whole genome shotgun sequence.
UUAACUCAAAUUUGUAUGUAGUUGAAGCACCUUCCCUUCGUUUGCCGCUAGGGGCACUGUUCAACUCCAUACAAAUUUAAGUUA